AAGGUUGUCGCAUAUCAAAUGAAAGAACAUAAAGCGUACAUUUCAAAUUUCAAAUUGACGUCUCCCAAAAAUGGGUUGGAUGGGGUCAUUGAGUGCAAAAAAUAAAUUUUCUUUUAAGAUAGGGUUGUUGUAUAUCAAAUGAAAGGUCAUGAUGUGUACAUUUGAAAUAUCAAAUUCCCGACCUCCAAAAAUUAGUUGGAUAGGGUUAUUAAGUGCAAAAAUCAAACUUUCUAGAACAUGGCGUUGUCGCAUAUCAAAUGAAAGCUCAUCUACUCUGUGUUACAUAUAUCAUAAUUCCGAUCUCAAAAAUGUAGGCGGAUGAGGUCAUUAAGUGUUAAAAAGCGAAAAGUUUCAGAAGGUAUGCUUGUCGUAUAUCAAACGAAAGGUCGUACAAAGUACAUUACGAAAACAUCACUUUUACAGGAAAGACCUUUCAAUUGUUUUACAAACAAUUGAGAUACUAGUUUAAGGUCUUCCUCUCCGCGAGGAAAGACCUUAUUGUUUUUCUUUUUUUUUUUUUUUUUUUUUUUUUUUUUUUUUUUUUUUUUCAUCCAGCAUUUGUUUAACAUGGCCUCCCCUUGUUUCUAUUGGAGUUAUCAAGACCAAAUAUGGACCAUCGGUAGACCUCAUCAUGAAGUAUUACCAGAUGAGGCUGUGUAGGAUUUCAUCAUCCCCUUUAGAAGUUAUCUCCCUUUUAUUGGUUUUUUUUCGACAUGGCCCCCCCUCGUUGUUUUUGAAGAUAUCAUGACCUUAUUUGGACAAUAGUUAGAUCUCAUCAUGAUGUGUUACCAUAUGAGGCUGCUAAGGAUUUCAUCAUUCCCUAUGAGAGUUAUGUCCCCUUGAAAGCAAUUUCUUUUCUUUGCAUUUUUCUCAAAAAGUAUUCAAGAUAGAAUCGAUUUGAAAACGGCAACAUGUACAGGACCAGAGAUGGCAAUGUUAAUUAACAUAUACAAUCAUUUUGUUGUUAACCCUUAUAAGGAGUUAUUUCCCUUGAAAAAAUAUACACAAUUUUUGAAAAAUUGUAUCUCGAGAACCGGAAGUCGUAAAGACUUGGGACCUACACCAAUAAUCUUAAGUUCAUGUGACCUUUAAUUUGCACCCAAGGUCAAAGGUCACCGAGUGCAAGAAAAAAAUUACGCUGCAAUUUCAAGCUUCAUAUUAGGAAAACGAUAACAGUUUGCUGCAUACUUACAGCGUAUAAAAUGUUCCUCUCGACGAGCUCUACAUUUUAUACACUGAGCCCAAAAAUGUCCGACUGUCUGUUCAAAAGUUACGACGGGAUGAUUCUUAAAAAGUAUAGUAUUGUGUGUAUAUCUUUUUAAAGGUAACAGAUAUCAACCUACUAUAAACUGCAAAGAUGAUCAGUAGUUCAAGACCUUCAAUUUGAGGUCAAUGUCAGGUCAUGAUGAAAUUUCACCUUGACCUUCACAUUUUACUAUGACCUUGACCUUGUGAAUAUUUGAAAGGUCAAGUGGUCCUGAGUUGAAUGGUGAUAGUCCCAUGUCUCUACGACUUCCGGUUCUCAAGUUUUGUAUUGCAUCAUAUAUUUGAUGAUUAAUUGUGACCUUGGUGAACUUUGAAAUUGUCCCAAUUCUUUUUCUAUAAUGUUGUCCUUCAACUGUAGAUCAUUUAUCAUUUAACAGAUUUGAGAUAUCUAUUGUCGUUUUAGAGAUAAUGCAGUUUGAAGUUUUUGCGAGCGGAGGCAUGUAUUUCUGAAUCAUCAAGAGCUUACCACUUAAAAAUGUUUUAGAAAUUGAAGAGGUUGACAUAGUUAUAUGUUUGACCCAAAUACCAAAAACAUUCCAUGGAAAAAAACACCAAAAAUCAAUUUGAAAUUUUCAAGUUUUGCAUUGACUUUGUAAGUUUCAUAACUUCUAUUUAUAUAAUUGAUAUUGCAUCAUUAUUUGCACUUUGUCAAAUGGGGUCAUCUGAUAUAUCAAAUUGAAGGUCUUAAUAAACUCUACUUAAAAAUGAAAAUUUUAAACCCCCUUUUCAUCCCAGGGGGACGGGUGGGGUCAUUUAGUGCAAACAUUCAAAUUUCUCAGAUGGUAAGGUUGUCGCAUAUCAAAUGAAAGAACAUAAAGCGUACAUUUCAAAUUUCAAAUUGACGUCUCCCAAAAAUGGGUUGGAUGGGGUCAUUGAGUGCAAAAAAUAAAUGUUUCUUUUAAGGUAGGGUUGUUGUAUAUCAAAUGAAAGGUCAUGAUGUGUACAUUUGAAAUAUCAAAUUCCCGACCUCCAAAAAUUUGUUGGAUAGGGUUAUUAAGUGCAAAAAUCAAACUUUCAAGAACAUGGUGUUGUCGCAUAUCAAACGAAAGCUCAUCUACUCUGUUCCAUAUAUCAUAAUUCCGAUCUCAAAAAUGUAGACGGAUGAGGUCAUUAAGUGUAAAAAGCGAAAAGUUUCAGAAGGUGUGCUUGUCGUAUAUCAAACGAAAGGUCGUACAAAGUACAUUACGAAAACAUCACUUUUACCCUUUCAAUUUUUUACAAACAAUUGAGAUACUAGUUUUUUUUUUUUUCUUCAACAUUUUUUGACAUGCCCCUCCCCUUGUUUCUGUUGAAGUUAUUAAGACCAAAUAUGGACCAUCGCUAGACCUCAUCAUGAACUGUAUUACCAGAUGACCCUGUUUGUAAGGAUUUCAUCAUCCCCUUUAGAAGUUAUCUCCCUUUUAUUGAUUUUUUUCAACAUGGUCCCCCCUCGUUGUUUUAAAAGAUAUCAUGACUUUAUUUGGACAAUAGUAGAUCUCAUCAUGAUGUAUUACCAUAUGAGGCUGAAUAGGAUUUCAUCAUCCCUAUGAGAGUUAUAUCCCCUUGAAGCAAUUUCUUUCUUUGCAUUUUUCUCAAAAAGUAUAAGAGAUAGAAUCGAUUUGAAAACGGCAACAUGUACAGGAACAGAUGGCAAUGUUAAUGAACAUAUACAAUCAUUUUGUUAUUAACCCUUAUAAGGAGUUAUUUCCCUUGAAAAAUUAUACAUAAUUUUUGAAAAAAUUGUAUUUCGAGAACCGGAAGUCGUAGAAGACUUGGGACCUUCACCAAUAAUCUUAAGUUCAUGUGACCUUUAAUUUGCACCCAAGGUCAAAGGUCACCGAGUGCAAAAAAAAAUUACGCUGCAAUUUCAAGCUUUCAUAUUAAGAAAACGAUAAGACUUUGCUGCAUACUUACAGCGUUAUAAAUGUUCCUCUCGACGAGCUCUACAUUUUAUACACUGAGCUCAAAAGUGUCCGACUGUCUGUUCAAAAGUUACAACGGGAUGAUUCUUAAAAGUAUAGUAUUGUGUGUAUAUCUUUUUAAAGGUAACAGAUAUCAACCUACUAUAAACUGCAAAGAUGAUCAGUAAUUCAAGACCUUCAAUUUGAGGUCAAUGUCAGGUCAUGAUGAAAUUUCACCUUGACCUUCACAUUAUACUAUGACCUUGACCUUGUGAUAUUUGAAAGGUCAAGUGGUCCUGAGUUGAAUGGUGAUAGUCCCAUGUCUCUACGACUUCCGGUUCUUAAGUUUUGGUAUUGCAUCAUAUAUUUGAUGAUUAAUUGUGACCUUUGGUGAACUUUGAAAUUGUCCCAAUUCUUUUCUAUAAUGUUGUCCCUUCAACUGUAGAUCAUUUAUCAUUUAACAGAUUUGAGAUAUCUAUUGUCGUUUUAGAGAUAAUGCAGUUUGAAGUUUUGCGAGCGGAGGCAUGUAUUUUCUGAAUCAACAAGAGCUUAUACCACUUAAAAUGUUUAGAAAUUGAAGAGGUUAACAUAGUUAUAUGUUUGACCAAAUACCAAAAACAUUCCAUGGAAAAAAACGCCAAAAAAUUCAAUUUUGAAAUUUUCAAGUUUUUGCAUUGACUUUGUAAGUUUCAUAAACUUCUAUUUAUAUAGUUGAUAUUGCAUCAUUAUUUGCACUUUGUCAAAUGGGGUCAUCUGAUAUAUCAAAUUGAAGGUCUCAAUAAACUCUACUUAAAAAUGAAAAUUUUAAACCCCCUUUUCAUCCCAGGGGGACGGGUGGGGUCAUUUAGUGCAAACAUUUCAAAUUUCUCAGAUGGUAAGGUUGUCGCAUAUCAAAUGAAAGAACAUAAAGCGUACAUUUCAAAUUUCAAAUUGACGUCUCCCAAAAAUGGGUUGGAUGGGGUCAUUGAGUGCAAAAAAUAAAUUUUCUUUUAAGAUAGGGUUGUUGUAUAUCAAAUGAAAGGUCAUGAUGUGUACAUUUGAAAUAUCAAAUUCCCGACCUCCAAAAAUUAGUUGGAUAGGGUUAUUAAGUGCAAAAAUCAAACUUUCUAGAACAUGGCGUUGUCGCAUAUCAAAUGAAAGCUCAUCUACUCUAUGUUACAUAUAUCAUAAUUCCGAUCUCAAAAAUGUAGGCGGAUGAGGUCAUUAAGUGUAAAAAAGCGAAAAAGUUUCAGAAGGUAUGCUUGUCGUAUAUCAAACGAAAGGUCGUACAAAGUACAUUACGAAAACAUCACUUUUACAGGAAAGACCUUUCAAUUGUUUUACAAACAAUUGAGAUACUAGUUUUUUUUUUUUUUUUUUUUUUUUUUUUUUUUUUUUCAUCCAGCAUUUGUUUGACAUGGCCUCCCCUUGUUUCUAUUGAGUUAUCAAGACCAAAUAUGGACCAUCGGUAGACCUCAUCAUGAAGUAUUACCAGAUGAGGCUGUGUAGGAUUUCAUCAUCCCCUUUAGAAGUUAUCUCCCUUUUAUUGAUUUUUUUUCGACAUGGCCCCCCCUCGUUGUUUUGAAAGAUAUCAUGACCUUAUUUGGACAAUAGUUAGAUCUCAUCAUGAUGUGUUACCAUAUGAGGCUGCUAAGGAUUUCAUCAUUCCCUAUGAGAGUUAUGUCCCCUUGAAGCAAUUUCUUUCUUUUACAUUUUUCUCAAAAAGUAUUCAAGAUAGAAUCGAUUUGAAAACGGCAACAUGUACAAGAACAGAUGGCAAUGUUAAUGAACAUAUACAAUCAUUUUGUUGUUAACCCUUAUAAGGAGUUAUUUCCCUUGAAAAAAUAUACACAAUUUUUGAAAAAUUGUAUCUUCGAGAACCGGAAGUCGUAAAGACUUGGGACCUACACCAAUAAUCUUAAGUUCAUGUGACCUUUAAUUUGCACCCAAGGUCAAAGGUCACCGAGUGCAAAAAAAAUUACGCUGCAAUUUCAAGCUUUCAUAUUAAGAAAACGAUAAGAGUUUGCUGCAUACUUACAGCGUAUAAAAUGUUCCUCUCGACGAGCUCUACAUUUUAUACACUGAGCUCAAAAGAGUCCGACUGUCUGUUCAAAAGUUACGACGGGAUGAUUCUUAAAAGUAUAGUAUUGUGUGUAUAUCUUUUUAAAGGUAACAGAUAUCAACCUACUAUAAACUGCAAAGAUGAUCAGUAGUUCAAGACCUUCAAUUUGAGGUCAAUGUCAGGUCAUGAUGAAAUUUCACCUUGACCUUCACAUUUAUACUAUGACCUUGACCUUGUGAUAUUUGAAAGGUCAAGUGGUCCUGAGUUGAAUGGUGAUAGUCCCAUGUCUCUACGACUUCCGGUUCUCAAGUUUUGUAUUGCAUCAUAUAUUUGAUGAUUAAUUGUGACCUUGGUGAACUUUGAAAUUGUCCCAAUUCUUUUUCUAUAAUGUUGUCCUUCAACUGUAGAUCAUUUAUCAUUUAACAGAUUUGAGAUAUCUAUUGUCGUUUUAGAGAUAAUGCAGUUUGCAAGUUUUGCGAGCGGAGGCAUGUAUUUCUGAAUCAUCAAAAGAGCUUACCACUUAAAAUGUUUUAGAAAUUGAAGAGGUUAACAUAGUUAUAUGUUUGACAAAUACCAAAAACAUUCCAUGGAAAAAAACACCAAAAAAUUCAAUUUGAAAUUUUCAAGUUUUGCAUUGACUUUGUAAGUUUCAUAACUUCUAUUUAUAUAGUUGAUAUUGCAUCAUUAUUUGCACUUUGUCAAAUGGGGUCAUCUGAUAUAUCAAAUUGAAGGUCUUAAUAAACUCUACUUAAAAAUGAAAAUUUUAAACCUUUUCAUCCCAGGGGAAGGGUGGGGUCAUUUAGUGCAAACAUUCAAAUUUCUCAGAUGGUAAGGUUGUCGCAUAUCAAAUGAAAGAACAUAAAGCGUACAUUUCAAAUUUCAAAUUGACGUCUCCCAAAAAUGGGUUGGAUGGGGGUCAUUGAGUGCAAAAAAUAAAUGUUCUUUUAAGGUAAGGUUGUUGCAUAUCAAUUGAAAGGUCAUGAUGUGUACAUUUGAAAUAUAUCAUAAUUCCGAUCUCAAAAAUGUAGGCGGAUGAGGUUAUUAAGUGUAAAAAGCGAAAAGUUUCAGAAGGUAUGCUUGUCGUAUAUAUCAAGACGAAAAGGUUGUACAAAGUACAUUACGAAAAACAUCACUUUUACAGGAAGACCUUUCAAUUGUUUUACAACAAUUGAGAUACUAGUUAAGGUCUUUCCCCUACAUGGAGAAAGACCUUAUUGUUUUUCUAAUGUUUUUUU
rnacentral:lncRNA from 1 species